rnacentral:tRNA from 1 species
GGGGUUGUGGCUUAGCGGUAGAGCGCUUGCCUAUCAUGUAUGAGAUGCUGGGUUCGAUCUUCAGCACCACA